GCCUAGCCCCGAUUGUAGCAAUUGUUUGAGCUCUUUUUUGUUUUUCUUUUUAAAAAACAAAAAAAGCGAGUGCGGAAAGCGGGAAAUUGC
rnacentral:sRNA from 1 species